rnacentral:rRNA from 1 species
GCCUUACACAUGCAAGUCGAACGGCAGCACGGGAGCAAGUCCUGGUGGCGAGUGGCGAACGGGUGAGUAAUAGUAUCGGAACGUGCCCGGUCGUGGGGGAUAACGUAGCGAAAGCUACGCUAAUACCGCAUACGAUCUACGGAUGAAANCGGGGGAUCGCAAGACCUCGCGCGAUUGGAGCGGCCGAUAUCAGAUUAGGUAGUUGGUGAGGUAAAGGCUCACCAAGCCGACGAUCUGUAGCUGGUCUGAGAGGACGACCAGCCACACUGGGACUGAGACAGGCCCAGACUCCUACGGGAGGCAGCAGUGGGGAAUUUUGGACAAUGGGCGCAAGCCCGAUCCAGCAAUGCCGCGUGCAGGAUGAAGGCCUUCGGGUUGUAAACUGCUUUUGUACGGAACGAAACGGUGAGCUCUAAUACAGUUUGCUAAUGACGGUACCGUAAGAAUAAGCACCGGCUAACUACGUG